UGUGUUUAAAUGUCCUCCUAAACGCUCCUGUAGAUGAGGUGGGACUUUCUUUUUCAGAGGUAGUUGAAUCUCGAAUGUGUUAUGCUGGGGUUAAGGGCGCGUGAUUACUAAACCACUACAUGUGAGUGAUUAGUUUGGCACCGCCCUAAUCCCCGGUAGUCUGAAUAAGAUAAAAAGAUGCUGUUAAACUUCCCUUGUUCCUUUUGCUACCUUGUACGCGCCAUGUUGUUUCUGCUCUGCGAGGCCUGUUUGUCAUCCCUGUCGUGGAGCCAGCCAACUGUGGACUGAAACCUCUACAAACUGCUUUUCCAAGGAGAAUGUGCUGUUUAAGCACCAAAGGAUGAUGGAGAAACCAUUUAUGGAAAUUGAGAAGCUUGGAGAAGAAACAGAUCAAGAGGAGGAAAGCAAGACUCUUCUCCGGGAUUCACCAAAGAGAACAUAUGCCAACGGAGGAAGAGAACGACGCCGGCAG
ensembl:lncRNA